rnacentral:rRNA from 1 species
GUCCACGCCGUAAACGGUGGGUACUAGGUGUGGGUUUCCUUCCUUGGGAUCCGUGCCGUAGCUAACGCAUUAAGUACCCCGCCUGGGGGAGUACGGCCGCAAGGCUAAAACUCAAAGAAAUUGACGGGGGCCCGCACAAGCGGCGGAGCAUGUGGAUUAAUUCGAUGCAACGCGAAGAACCUUACCUGGGUUUGACAUGCACAGGACGACCUGCAGAGAUGUGGUUUCCCUUGUGGCCUGUGUGCAGGUGGUGCAUGGCUGUCGU